rnacentral:rRNA from 1 species
CAGUCGAGAAUCAUUCACAAUGGGCGAAAGCCUGAUGGUGUGACGCCGCGUGGAGGAUGAAGGUCUUCGGAUUGUAAACUCCUGUCAUGUGAGAGUAAAGCCGGGCGUUAACUGCGUUCCGGUCUGAGAGUAUCACAAGAGGAAGAGACGGCUAACUCUGUGCCAGCAGCCGCGGUAAUACAGAGGUCUCAAGCGUUGUUCGGAAUCACUGGGCGUAAAGGGUGCGUAGGCGGCGUGGUAAGUCAGAGGUGAAAUCCCGGAGCUCAACUUCGGAACUGCCUCCGAUACUGCCGUGCUUGAGGACUGGAGAGGAGUCUGGAAUUCACAGUGGAGCAGUGAAAUGCGUAGAUAUUGUGAGGAACACUAGUGGCGAAGGCGAGACUCUGGACAGUUCCUGACGCUGAGGCACGAAGGCCAGGGGAGCAAACGGGAUUAGA